GACGAACGCUGGCGGCGUGCUUAACACAUGCAAGUCGAACGGAAAGGCCCUGCUUGCAGGGUACUCGAGCGGCGAACGGGUGAGUAACACGUGGGUGAUCUGCCCUGCACUUCGGGAUACGCCUGGGAAACUGGGUUUAAUACCGGAAAGGAGCCAUUGUUAGAGUGAUGGUUGGAAAGAUUUUUCGGUGUAGGAUGAGCUCGCGGCCUAUUAGCUUGUUGGUGGGGUAAUGGCCUACCAAGGCGGCGACGGGUAGCCGGCCUGAGAGGGUGGACGGUCACAUUGGGACUGAGAUACGGACCAGACUCCUACGGGAGGCAGCAGUGGGGAAUAUUGCACAAUGGGCGCAAGCCUGAUGCAGCAACGCCGCGUGUGUGAUGACGGCCUUCGGGUUGUAAACGCCUUUCGCUAGGGACGAAGCUUUUGUGACGGUACCUAGAUAAGAAGCACCGGCUAACUACGUG
rnacentral:rRNA from 1 species